AAGUCGGGCCUGCUCNCUGAGUAGAAUUAAARRGCCGCAGAUUUUGACUGUGCAAAGGUAGCAUAAUCAAUAGUCUUUUAAUUGAGGACUGGAAUGAAUGGUUUGACGAAAUAAURACUGUCUUAAUAUAAAUAGUUGAAAUUUAUUUUUGAGUUAAAAARCUUAAAUAAAUADAAGGGRCGAGAAGACCCYAUAGAUUUUUAUAAAAWGUUUUUAAAAUAUGGAGUAAGAAAGAGUUGUAAGAGUAUUUUAUUUGAUUGGGGKGAUAGAAGAAUAAAAAAACUYCUYUGARAAAAAAAACGAUNAUAAAUGGGUUUUUGAUCCUUUAUUAUGGAUUAGAAGAUUAAAAUACCUUAGGGAUAACAGCGUAAUUUUGUUUGAGAGUUCUAAUCGAUAAUGAAGAUUGCGACCUCGAUGUUGGAUUAAGAUUAUUUUUUGGUGUAGUAAUU
rnacentral:rRNA from 1 species